CAGUAGCCGCGGUAAAACGAAGGUCCCGAGCGUUGUUCGGAAUCACUGGGCGUAAAGGGAGCGUAGGCGGCGUGGUAAGUCAGAUGUGAAGUCCCGGGGCUCAACCCCGGAACUGCAUCCGAUACUGCCAUGCUAGAGGAUUGGAGAGGUAGCUGGAAUUCUUGGUGUAGCAGUAAAAUGCGUGGAGAUCAAGAGGAACACUCGUGGCGAAAGCGAGCUACUGGACAAUAACUGACGCUGAGGCUCGAAGGCCAGGGUAGCGAAAGGGAUUAGAUACCCCCGUAGUCCCUGUCUCUUAUAC
rnacentral:rRNA from 1 species